rnacentral:rRNA from 1 species
AGAGUUUGAUCCUGGCUCAGGAUGAACGCUAGCUACAGGCCUAACACAUGCAAGUCGAGGGGCAGCAUGGGCUUAGCUUGCUAAGCCUGAUGGCGACCGGCGCACGGGUGAGUAACGCGUAUCCGACCUUCCGGCGGCUCGGGUCCAGCCUUUCGAAAGAAAGAUUAAUCCCCGAUGGUGUCAGGCAGUUCCAUGACAGCCUGACUAAAGAGUUAUCGGCCGCCGAUGGGGAUGCGUUCCAUUAGCUUGUUGGCGGGGUAACGGCCCACCAAGGCGACGAUGGAUAGGGGUUCUGAGAGGAAGGCCCCCCACAUUGGGACUGAGACACGGCCCAAACUCCUACGGGAGGCAGCAGUGAGGAAUAUUGGUCAAUGGGCGCGAGCCUGAACCAGCCAAGUAGCGUGGAGGAUGACUGCCCUACGGGUUGUAAACUCCUUUUGCAGGGGGAUAAAGUGUGCCACGCGUGGCAUAUUGCAGGUACCCUGCGAAUAAGCAUCGGCUAACUCCGUGCCAGCAGCCGCGGUAAUACGGAGGAUGCGAGCGUUAUCCGGAUUUAUUGGGUUUAAAGGGAGCGCAGACGGCCCCUUAAGUCAGCUGUGAAAGUUUGCGGCUCAACCGUAAAAUUGCAGUUGAAACUGUGGGGCUUGAGUACGGUCGCGGCAUGCGGAAUUCGUGGUGUAGCGGUGAAAUGCAUAGAUAUCACGAAGAACCCCGAUUGCGAAGGCAGCAUGCCAGCCCGCCACUGACGUUGAGGCUCGAAGGUGCGGGUAUCAAACAGGAUUAGAUACCCUGGUAGUCCGCACGGUAAACGAUGGACACCCGCUGUCGGCGAUAUACAGUCGGCGGCCAAGCGAAAGCGUUAAGUGUCCCACCUGGGGAGUACGCCGGCAACGGUGAAACUCAAAGGAAUUGACGGGGGCCCGCACAAGCGGAGGAACAUGUGGUUUAAUUCGAUGAUACGCGAGGAACCUUACCCGGGCUCAAACGCCACAGGAACAUCCCCCGAAAGGGGAAUGGCCAGCAAUGGCCUGUGGCGAGGUGCUGCAUGGUUGUCGUCAGCUCGUGCCGUGAGGUGUCGGCUUAAGUGCCAUAACGAGCGCAACCC